UGGAUCAAAAAACCGUUUAGGGUUCAGUAAUAGGGUUUAAGGGUUUUCAGUUUUCCCAUUUUCCCUUACUCUUUCACAUUCAUUCCCAGGGAUAUAUGGUAAGACCUCAAUUUGUCUUCAAAUUUCGUUCAAAUUUUCAUUUCAACUUAAGUUUUGAAUAAUUAUUCGAAGAAUUUUCUCUCACAGAUGCAAAAUAUCUGAUGCAUCAACGUAUAGUAAUUUCCAGUCAUCGGGUACUGAAAAUUACUUCAGUUUUUUCACCAAAAAUUUGUGCUUUAUUUAUCCCACAAUUGAAUUUUUGUAACCGUAGAAAUAAUGUGUUCACUGUAUUUAGUGCAAAUAUGUACACUUCCACACAUACUAAUAGGAGAGCACCGGACCCGAAUGAUCCGGCCACCUUAAUGAAAGAAGAUGGUAUAUCACUUUGUUGUAGAAUGUGGAUUGAUAGUUUUCGAGAAUCCGAUAAAACUGUGACUAAUUUAACUGAUUAUUUGAGGAGGUUUGAAUUGUGGGUAUUGGCUUAUCAAAAGGUUUCUGCUGAUGACACGGGCGCAUAUAUGCCCCGGAGCGCGAUAACGCGGUCAGCACUUGAGGAUUUGUUGGCCUUGAGAAAUGCAGUUCUUGAUAAUAGGUUUAAGUGGGGGGCUAGGUUGGAGUUUUUCAUUAAGUCUCCGAGGGAUAAGACGGAUUAUGAGUCGCUGUCGAAGAGGAAGAUUAAAGCUAUCUUGACUACGACACAGCCGAGCCCGUUUCAAGAUAGGGUUGUUCAGGAAGUGUUGUUUAUGAUAUUGGAGCCAGUUUAUGAGGCUCGGUUUUCGCAAAAGUCAUUCGCUUUUCGACCUGGAAGGACUGCGCACACGGCUUUGAGGGUUAUCAGGAGAAGCUUUGCGGGGUAUUUGUGGUAUAUAAAGGGAGAUUUAAGUACGGUUUUGGACGGGAUGAAGGUUGGGAUGGUGAUUAGUGCGCUGAUGAGAGAUGUACGUGAUAAGAAGGUAGUUGAUUUGAUAAAGGCUGCUUUAACUACUCCUGUUGUAACUAGCAGACCUGAUGACGGUGAGAAAAAGAAGAAGACGAAAAGAAAGUAUCAGAAAAAGAGAGUCCUAGCAGAUGAUGAGCCGAAGCCUGAUCCAUACUGGCUGGAAUCGUUCUUUGGGUUUGCUCCAGAGGAGGCCGCGAAAGUUCCUUCAUGGGGUCAUUGUGGUAUACUCAGUCCGCUUUUGGCUAAUGUUUGCCUUGAUGAGUUGGACCGCUGGAUGGAAGGUAAGAUCCAGGAGUUUUAUCGGCCUUCAAAGAAUGAUGUUAUUUGGAAUAGUCCGGAAGGGGAAGUAGAACAAGGAAAUACUUCUUGGCCCGAAUUUGUUCCUACGAGUGGGCCUGACAAGACCAGGAAGAUUGACUACAUCCGUUUUGGUGGUCACAUUCUAAUAGGGGUAAGGGGACCAAGAGCAGAUGCCGCAACACUAAGAAAGCAGUUGAUUGAGUUCUGUGAUCAGAAAUACAUGCUCAAGCUUGAUAAUGAGAGCCUUCCUAUUGAACACAUAACAAAAGGUAUUAUGUUUCUUGAUCAUGUAUUGUGCCGUAGAGUAGUAUAUCCCACACUCAGAUAUACUGCUACUGGUGGGAAAAUCAUUAGUGAAAAGGGUGUAGGGACACUGUUGUCUGUCACAGCUAGCCUGAAACAAUGCAUUAAACAAUUUAGAAAGUUGAACUUUCUCAAGGGAGACAGGGAUCCAGAUCCACAGCCGUGUUUUAGAAUGUUUCAUGCUACUCAAGCCCAUACAAAUGCUCAGAUGAAUAAGCUUUUGGCCACAAUGGUGGAGUGGUUCAGAUAUGCUGAUAAUAGAAAAAAGAUUGUUAAUUUUUGUUCUUAUAUCAUUAGAGGUUCACUUGCUAAGCUCUAUGCUGCAAAAUAUAAGCUUCGGUCACGGGCAAAGGUUUACAAGAUUGGUUCUAGGACUCUAAGUCGUCCUCUGAAGGAGAAAAAAGGACAAUCACCAGAAUACCAUAAUUUGCUGAGGAUGGGUCUGGUGGAAUCAAUUGAUGGUCUCAUGUAUACCCGUAUGUCCCUCGUACCUGAAACUGAUUAUACCCCCUUUCCAAUGGCUUGGAGGCCUGAUCAUGAGAAGGCACUGCUUGAAUAUAUAAAGCUGAGUGACCGAAAAACUCUGGAUGAGCAACAGAACUUUCUUAAAGAACAAGGUCUGAUUUCACCUCAGGAUUACAUUUCAAUGCUUGUUUGGAACUACAAAAGAAACGCUGUUCCAGUAGAACAGAAAAGUUUGUUAUUAGGCACAGGUGAGGAAAAAGAUAAUGAAAGUGAUGAAGACGAUGAAGAAGUGGUUCAUGCAGCUGAAGUUUAAGCGAGAUUAGUACUUUUUGGAAGUCUUUUAGACAAUUUUUUGCCAAAGAUUUUAUCGUACUGAACAAACUUGUGUUACCAAGCAAAGAAUACCAGCUUGUAUUACACAACUGGUAGUUGCCAAAUCUUAAGAAGAUACAUUAGGUAGAUCAGAAGGGACGGAGGAAACUUGCUUAAUGAUGCACCAGG